CUUAAUUAUCAAGAAUCUCAAAAGAGAUAGCAACCUGCAUUAACAAGCAAGGUGCUAAAUAGAUAAGCCAAAUAUCAUUGGAACAAAUGUUAACCCA
rnacentral:ncRNA from 2 species